GUGGAUUAGAUACCCUGGUAGUCCUGGCAGUAAACGGUGCACGUUUGGUGUGGGAGGAUUCGACCCCUUCCGUGCCGGAGCUAACGCGUUAAACGUGCCGCCUGGGGAGUACGGUCGCAAGAUUAAAACUCAAAGAAAUUGACGGGGGCCCGCACAAGCGGUGGAGUAUGUGGCUUAAUUCGAUGCAACGCGAAGAACCUUACCUAGCCUUGACAUGCAUUUCUAAGUCGGUGAAAGCCGGCGAGUGUAGCAAUACACAACUUGCACAGGUGCUGCACGGUUGUCGACAGCU
rnacentral:rRNA from 1 species